rnacentral:rRNA from 1 species
ACGAACGCUGGCGGCAGGCCUAACACAUGCAAGUCGAACGUGAAGCCACCUUCGGGUGGUGGAAAGUGGCAGACGGGUGAGUAACGCGUGGGAACGUGCCUUUCGGUUCGGGAUAACCCAGGGAAACUUGGGCUAAUACCGGAUACGCCCUCCGGGGGAAAGAUUCAUUGCCGAAAGAUCGGCCCGCGUCGGAUUAGCUAGUUGGUGGGGUAAAAGCCUACCAAGGCGACGAUCCGUAGCUGGUCUGAGAGGAUGACCAGCCACACUGGGACUGAGACACGGACCAGACUCCUACGGGAGGCAGCAGUGGGGAAUAUUGGACAAUGGGCGAAAGCCUGAUCCAGCCAUGCCGCGUGAGUGAUGAAGGCCCUAGGGUUGUAAAACUCUUUCGGCGGGGACGAUAAUGACGGUACCCGCAGAAGAAGCUCCGGCUAACUUCGU